GCGGGUAUAGCUCAGGGGUUAGAGCGCCUGACUGUGGCUCAGGAGGUCGAGGGUUCGAUUCCGUCUACCCGCCCCA
rnacentral:tRNA from 1 species